AGAUAUUUUUGUAAAUUUUUGUACCGUAAAUAUAUCAAAACUUUUGAUUAGUAAUAUGCAUUGCUAAGGACUUCAUUUGGACAACUUUUAAAGGCAUUUUUUUUUCAAUAUUUUAGAUUUUUUUGUCACCCUCAGAUUCCAGAUUUUCAUAGUUUUGUAUCUCGACCAAAUAUUGUUUCAGAUUAUGUAUACAAUCUCAAAAAAAAAUAGGUUUUAGUGAUCCAGGUUCACAAAUUAUUAUGAAAUGCCAUUAACUAAAAGCGCUGAAAUUCACUUAAAAUAUUUUCAUAGCACUGAAAAGUACUUCCAAGAACACCAUGAUAAUACCACAGUAAAUGUUCCAAAAUAAACAUGUAGCAUAUGCAACAGCAAAUACAGUUUCACGCUACAAUAGUGCAAGCUUCAUUCUAUAAUCAAAUCUACAUAUUUCGUAGUUUCUUCACAUUUAAACGACGCUGAGGUGAAGUCUGUGAGUGACAGGCUGCCUAACAACAUUUAAAACGCGAAUAAAAACCACGCAGCAGCUUUAAACGACAUGUAAAUAUCAAAUCAACAUUUUGGCGAAGAAUGUCACGUCUCAGAGGCUUUGAUAAAAACUGAGAUGAAACUUACUCAACUUUUUCUUCUAUUCUAUCGGCAUCCUUGAAAUUAUUCUCUAUUAAAGCACGUCGCUUUUGCUCAAACGUCAAAUUCAAGACAAUAAGGGACGCGAUUCGUGGCUUCUGGAGGUCCAGCUCCCCGGUGUCUGCCUCUCCCACAUUCUCAGACAGUUUUAUUAAAAAAUUCAGACAAAAGGAAAACAAAAAUGGCAGCCUGUCUUAUUUUUAUAAGGACAGGGCGCCAUAUUCUGCAGAUCCCAAAAAAUGUAGCCACAAAAACAAAGCGCGUGGAUUCAGAUGAAAAGAGCGAGGAGUAAAUCGCCACGUUAUUUGCAUUAAGUGCACGAAUGAUUGUUUUCUUAGAUCUGCAGGUUUGAAUAGCCCGGCUGGAGGAGAAAAAAAAGAGAGGAAAAAAAACCGAGAGA
rnacentral:lncRNA from 1 species